GAACGCAGGAGACCGCGCGGGACCGCAAAAGCGGCCUCAGGCACUCGGUGUUCUCCAACCCGGCCCCGCGGCCUGCGGCCGCUCUAGGACACCAAAGGUCCUCUUCUCGGUGGUUGGGGCUGGGCCGCCCCCGCGGCGGGAGCAGCCUACCUCUGGGCUGGGCGGGGCCUGGCCGGAGUCCCCGGCGAGGCGCAGGCCUUGCGUCAAUCUUCAGUCUGCGAACCCGGCCGGAGCUGGGAGAAGGCGCGAAGGACGGGAUGCACAUCCUGCCUGCUCCGGGAAAAACUCAGCCAGCAGCUCCAUCAGCUUUUGCAAAAAAUUCGACCCUCCUUUGCAGAAUGGCAAAAGAAAAUAAACUACCAUUUCUUAGUGUUUUAUUUUCAGCUGAUUUCUUGUUUCUGUGGUUUUGAUUCUAAUUCUUGCUAUAGACGCCUUCAGAUGGUGGAAGCCAAGGAAAGGAACCCUUGACGCAACUUCCUAACCUUUGGACAGAGUGUGGGGUAUGGGAACUCCCCGACUUCCUUUUCUUUUUUCCCUCCAUACAGACCUAAAAGCCUUCAAAAAUGAUCUAACACGCCCCACAGCCCCGGAGUCAAAGCCGGUUCCUGGCCCAGUCCCGUCCUGCAGCAGCCUGCCUCCUCUUUCCUUUCAGCAUGACAGAUGCCGCUGUGUCCUUCGCCAAGGACUUCCUGGCAGGUGGAGUGGCCGCAGCCAUCUCCAAGACGGCGGUAGCGCCCAUUGAGCGGGUCAAGCUGCUGCUGCAGGUACAGCAUGCCAGCAAGCAGAUCACUGCAGAUAAGCAAUACAAGAGCAUUAUAGACUGCGUGGUCGGUGUUCCCAAGGAGCAGGGAGUCCUGUCCUUCUGGCGCGGUAACCUGGCCAAUGUCAUCAGAUAUUUCCCUACCCAGGCCCUUAACUUUGCCUUCAAAGAUAAAUACAAGCAGAUCUUCCUGGGUGGUGAGGACAAGAGGACCCAGUUUUGGCGCUACUUUGCAGGGAAUCUGCCAUCAGGCGAUGCUGCUGGGGCCACAUCCUUGUGUUUUGUGUACUCUCUUGAUUUUGCCCAUACCCCUCUAGCAGCAGAUGUGGGUAAAGCUGGAGCUGAAAGGGAAUUCCGAGGCUAAGAUCUACAAAUCUGAUGGGAUUAAGGGCCUGUACCAAGGCUUUAACGUAUCUGUGCAGGGUAUUAUCAUCUACCAAGCUGCCUACUUCGGUAUCUAUGACACUGCAAAGGGAAUGCUUCCAGAUCCCAAGAACACUCACAUCGUUAUCAGCUGGAUGAUCGCACAGACUGUCACUGCUGUUGCCAGGUUGACUUCCUAUCCAUUUGACACUGUUCGCUGCCGCAUGAUGAUGCAGUCCGGGCGCAAAGGAACUAACAUCAUGUACACAGGCACACUUGACUGCUAGUCGAAGAUUGUUCGUGAUGAAGGAGGCAAAGCUUUCUUCAAGGGUGCAUGGUCCAAUGUUCUCAGAGGCAUGGGUGGUGCUUUUGUACUUGUCUUGUAUGAUGAAAUCAAGACGUACACAUAAGUUAUUUCCUGGGAAUUUUCCCCCUGUGAACAGGCAUGUUGUAUUAUAUAACGUAUCUUGAGCAUUCUCGACAGACUCCUGGCUGUCAAUUUAUCUGUGGCAACUAUUUACUGGUUGAAAAUGGGAAGCAAUAAUAUUCAUCUGACCAGUUUUCUCUUAAAGCCAUUUCCAUGAUGAUGAUGAUGGGACUCAAUUAUAUUUUUUAUUUCAGUCACUCCUGAUAAAUAUCAAAUUUGGAGAAAUAAAAAUAUCUAAAAU